UUCCUCUGUAUUCAAAAGAGAGUCAUAUUCUACACAAUCAGCUCUUUCAUUUUUUCAGCUUAUUUUAUAAGUGGGCAUCAAAUGUUUCAAAGGUUCAUCAAAGAUAAUAGAAUUAUAAUAGCAUCAGGUAUUUAAUAAAAUAGUCUUUUGAAAAACACUUUAUUUAAGUUCAUAAGAAAAAUACUGACAGAAUGCUUUUAUCAUCAGAGGGUAAGUUUGGCACUAUAGAUCCAGUGACCUUCAAGAGCAGUUUUUCUGAGGAAGAACAUGAUUCUUCAUAUGGUAUUUCUACUAUUAAAAAAAAUCACUGGAAUUGAAACCUUGAUUUUUUUUUUCUACUCUUGUAUAUUGCUAGUGUCUCACACAGUUUAAGACAGUUGUGUGCCAGAAAAUGACAUAGAUAUUGCCAGUGGCCCUUAUAUGUAAUCCAUGAGGAAUUAUCUUGGAGAUGUAAUCUCUUAAAAUACAGAACAAACUGAGACUUACAGAGAUGACAGAUAAAUACUGCUAUAUAAAUGUAAAACCAAAGAUUCCAUACAUUCUACACACUAAAUGUGUAGGAGGGGUCAAACAAUCCAGAAAAAAGAAAAUGCAGAGUAGAAGGUGAUUCUGAGUAACACACACACACACACACACACACACACACACACAAACACACACACUGAAAACUAUUGAGAAGCAUGAACAGCAACAAAUUCUCAAGAGUGACACAACUAGAGGCCUUAAUACAGGUGCUGUGGUGUGACAUCUGGUCUCUUCAACCUAGUAGUCUGUAAUCUACAUUCCCCAGAGUCCUGUACCCUCCUGCAUUUAAAGUCUGCCAUAUACGACUUCGAAGAAAAUUUUCCCAAUGUAAAGAAGACACUGAAUGAUGAGAGACUCUCAAAAGUACAACAAAUAAAUAAAUGAAUAAUAGCUUCCAAGCGUUGUCUCUAUGUCAGUAUUGAGUAGUGGGCAACUUCUAACUAAUCAGAACCUCUUUAAACACACCAAUGCAAUCAGUUUCCACACAUGGUGAAGGCUAUGUUCUGGGAAACCAUGGUGACAAGGACUUCAAGUGUCACCUCACAUCCACAGCCAGGAACCGAGAGAACAAGAUGCAUGCGUAUAACCUUCGUCCAGCAACGCAUGGAAAUAGAAACAAAGACCCACAUUGGAGCACUGGACUGAGCUCCCAAGGUCCAGUUGAAGAGCAAAAGAAGGGAGAAUAUGAGCAAGGAAGUCAGGACCACGAGAGGUUGGCCACCCACUGAGACAGUGUGCCUGUUCUAAUGGGAGUUCACCAAAUCCAGCUGGACUGGGACUGAAAGACGUCUUGUAUUGUUCUGUUUCUUUUGAGGCCCAAAUAAGAAAUUGAGAAUUGAGCAAAUUAAUGGAAAAAAAAUUAAGCAAGUCAUGAAGUCUGUGGCAAAAAGACCAUUUAAAAUACACUUACAACUGUCCCACAAAUGGGCCUAACACUAUGAAAGAAAUUCAAAAAGAAGUUGCAAUGAGUUAAGUAGAAUGAGGAGGCUGUCCUAAGGAAGAUGACACUGAGGUGUCAUGAAGUGAUGCAUGAGAUUUAGAAAAGGACUCUUACUUAGAAGAUGUAUCAAGUUGGUAUUACCAACAAGAACAACUUGUUCCCCUUCCACUAAUGGCUAAACAAAACUUUAGCAAUGCAUAUUAUAAGUCUACAGUAUGAAGAAGUGGCAAUGUUUGUAGGGAAAUAUCUCUGUCUCUAUUUUGUUCUUAUUGAAGAUUAAGAAAGUUGUGGUUUAUAUGAAUUCAGAAAGAAUUUUUGUUGAUUUUUACUGAGCUCUAUAUUUUUCUCUGUUCCCUUCCCUGCCUCUCUCCUCCCCUUCAACCCUCUAAAAGAUUUCCCCAAUAUUUUCUUUGGCAGAACAGAACAGCCCUAGACAAAGGGUGAGAUCUACGUCUCCAUUGGUACAGAUGGUCCUAAUUAACUAAAUUAUGUCUUUAACUAGGCAAAUGAACUAGAGGGAACUUGAAAACUUUGUAUUGAAGUUUUUAGUGUAACUUCAUAAUGUUGACAACAGGCUGUAUUGCAGUAGUUUUCUGCCUUGAACAUUCUUUUUCAUUAAAUCAACUGUCAUCUCUUAUCAAGUCUGUAAAUUGGCCAACAUGCCCUGAAAUAGCAAUCUGAAUUAUCACCAGAAAAGGAGGAACCUCUUUGUAACCCCAUCAUUAAUUCAAUGAUAGUUUCUUGUAACUUUGUCUAUACUCAUUGGUACUUUAAUAUCACAGGGAGAUUUAAUUUCUAUUUGACAGGUUCAAGUAGAUACAUAGUCUUCUAUUAAAUAAAGUCUCACUGCAAUGGGUCAUAUAUCCUGA